GAGGCAAACAAGAAACAUGUAAUCACCCAAACAACCGUUUUAGUCCUUUCCCCCUGGAUUUGUGUCGUAAGAUAGCCUACAGUAUCUACUUCAAAGGAUACACAGGGGGCCGCGAGACUGUUACAAUGGGACUUGAAGUUUCAGAUGAUGUCCAGUACGGCACGGCUGCUCCAGCCAAUAAACAAGGUGACUAACAAUGGAAGUGGACCAGGAAUGAAGAGAGGGAGACAGGGUAUAACCUCACAACACUCAGCAGGGAGAAGGGGGGGGGGGUGCAACGUGUAUCAAAUACAAAUGGUUUUAUGCAUCUGUAGUCUAUUUUGGAAUGAUUAACAUGUUGUGUAGUUCUGUGUACAUCAUUUUGAUCUGACCAUAAGAGGAUAUUAGAUUGUUUUAAAGAAAUAUUUAGGGGUCUUAAAAAAUGUAUUGUUUUCUUUACAUUCUUGGGAAUAUCAAAGUGACAUUCAUUUAACAGAUAUAACAAAUUAGUUGAUUUUAAUAUACAAAAUGGAAGAGGCAGGAUAAUGGAAAUGAUUUAUUUCCCAGGAGGAAGUUUCACAAGUCCCAUGAUAGAAUUAAAUGAUUUUAGGACUGAAGGCAAAAAGACUAUUGAACUCUUAUGUGUGUAUGUAUAUUGGUGUGCCUCUUUGUGUGUCUGUGUGUCUCCUUGAGCAAAAUUCAUUAUCACCUUUGCCCCACAGAAAAUGCAAUUAAUUGUGGAAAUAAUGAUUUUCUCCAAACUGAAAUUAGACUUUUAUUUCUUUCCCCAAUUCAUGGCUUAUUGAGAACCUUGAUAUUAAAAUUGUUGUACAUUU